rnacentral:lncRNA from 1 species
CGGUCACUCAGGCCGGGCUUCAUAUUUCUGUCUUCAGGCAGAAUUUCUUCUUCUCCAGGAAACGUCAGUCUUUGGUCUCAAGUCCUGAACCGAUUGGAUGAGGUCCACCCACGUUAUGGAGGAAAAUCUCCUCCGCUCGGAGCCGGCGGGUUGUAAACGCUGAUCGCAUCUACAAAAUCCCUUCCCUUGAGUGCUGAGUGCCGGCUCUUAGCCCAGCCGCAUGGACGCUAAUGUAAAAGCAUUUUUUCUAUAAGAAACAACAUUCGAAGAUAAACCUUGGACAAAUCAAUCUGGUCUGAUAAUUUUGACUGAAAAAAAUCAGUGUGCAAUGUAUCAUAAGUCUUCAUUUAAGCUUUGAUAAGAUCUGUGUUUUCUCCUGACCAGUCUGGAACUGCUUGAUGCCCAAAACUACAACCUUGAUCCCCAAAAAAUGAAACCUUCAGGAUGCCUUUUACUUAGACCGUCUCUGAGAUUUCCUCUGUGACUUUGGAAAUGCCACAGGAGCGUGUGCUUUCACCUCAUUACGAGAUGACUGCCAACAACAGCACUGUGCACCUGGAACAUGCAUCCCCUCAGCAGCCCCUGCUCUCAGGACAGGGUGUGGGGGAGGUGUCACCCCAAAGGAGAACUCAGCGGCCUCAGGUGGGUUUGGUCUGGUGGGUCUCAGGCCCUCUCUGUGUGACAGAAGACGCUGCGGAUUCCCAGUGCCCUCACCCACGGGGAUAUUCUGGAACACUAUAUGGAUAGAUGCAACUUGCAGGAAGCUAAUGGUGAUGCAAAUGACUCUUGACCUACAGCAAUGGAAAUGUUUUGUCCAGCGGAGCUGUUGCAGAUCACUUCUGCAGGUAGAAAAGAAAAUCUCAAGUGACAGUUGCCUUGGUCUGCUGGAUGCUAAUCUGUUCUGAAGCCAUAAUCACAGUGCUGCACCAGCAUUCUCUCCAGAGCGGCUGUCUGUGCCUUGUUCUCUCCAUUCUUUAUGAACCAGCCUUAGCAUCUUGCUUAUUGCCUCAUUAAGGUAUUAAUUAGAAUCUUUCGCAUGUGCUCCUUUUAAAAAUACUCAGAUUUAUGAGAGUUGCCCACACUCCAGUUACGGUCUUUUUGCUGAUCUUGCUUUUUCUGUAUCGAAAGCUCUCCAUAGCUUUCAAAAAACCACAGUCACAUGGAACGUUGCCGAGACUCUGCUUGCCUUACCAUCAGCUAGUCAUGGUGCACAAAUUAAAACUGGGAACCAAUCGUGUGGAGUCUGGCAUUUGCCGUGGAUAAGUUGCCAGAAUCUUAUGCUUCAGGACAAAGUUCUCUCUGCAGAUAUCCUGGAGGCCAGAGUUAACUUGGUGUGUGGAAAUCAC